rnacentral:rRNA from 1 species
GACGAACGCUGGCGGCACGCCUAACUCAUGCAAGUCGAACGGAGAGUUUUCGCCGACAAAGCCUUCGGGUGGAGUCAUGAGAACUCUUAGUGGCGGACGGGUGAGUAACACGUGAGGAACCUGCCUAACAGAGGGGGAUAACGUUUGGAAACGAACGCUAAUACCGCAUAAUGUCUUGGAGUCGCAUGGCUUUAAGACCAAAGGAGCAAUCCGCUGAUAGAUGGCCUCGCGCCCGAUUAGCUAGUUGGUGGGGUAAUGGCCCACCAAGGCGACGAUCGGUAGCCGGACUGAGAGGUUGAACGGACACAUUGGGACUGAGACACGGCCCAAACUCCUACGGGAGGCAGCAGUGGGGAAUAUUGCACAAUGGGGGAAACCCUGAUGCAGCAACGCCGCGUGAAGGAAGAAGGGUUUCGGCUCGUAAACUUCUAUCGACAGGGAAGAAAGAAAUGACGGUACCUGAAUAAGAAGCCCCGGCUAACUACGUGCCAGCAGCCGCGGUAACAC